rnacentral:rRNA from 1 species
AAGAGUUUGAUCCUGGCUCAGGAUGAACGCUAGCGGUGAGCCUAACACAUGCAAGUCGAACGGCACUCUGCUUCGGUAGAGUGAAGUGGCGAACGGGUGAGUAAUGCAUAAGAAUCCACCCAGUAGCGCGGGAUACCCUUCGGAAACGGAGGACAAAACCGCAUGAACCCCGAGGGGCAAAAGAUUUCUGCUACUGGUCGAGCUUAUGUUGGAUUAGCUAGUUGGUGAGGUAACGGCUUACCAAGGCUUAGAUCCAUAGCUGGUCUGUGAGGAUGAUCAGCCACAUUGGGACUGAGAUACGGCCCAGACUCCUACGGGAGGCAGCAGUGAGGAAUAUUGGACAACGAGCGAAAGCUUGGUCCAGCUACACCGCGUGGAUGAAGAAGGCCCUUGGGUUGUAAAGUCCUUUCAGCGGGGAAGAUAAUGACGUUACCCGCAGAAGAAGUCCCGGCUAAUUCCGUG